AUGUCACCGUGCGGUUUUAUUGCCCACGUCCUGCGCCAACCUCCUGACGCCGGGGUUGGGGUACUCGGGGUUCUCAAUGGCCCCGGGCCCGAAUUUGAGCUCCAGGAAGGCCCGGGGGUCGUUGGGCGCUUUGGCCAGCACGCCGGCGAAGGGCACCGUGCCCAGGGGCACCAGGAAGCUCUCGGGGAACUCCACGUCCUGCCGGUGGCCCAGCCACGUGUCCUUGGUCAUGACGGCCGAGCCGGGCCGCACGUAGAACGGCCACAGGUCCACGUGCAGCCGGUUGGCGCGGCUGAAGUGGACGCGGAAGAAUUCCCCCUCGGCCGCUUUCUCCCAGAGGAAGCCCUGGGGAUCCUCCACGGGCCCGCCCGAGGCCACCACCUCGGCCAGCCAGCGGCACAUGGGGACGUCCUCGCGGUAGAGCCCCACGUCCACGUCGUAGUCCCAGGGGAUGAGGUCCCCGAGGCGCACGGCGCCCAGGAGCGUCCCUCCCUCCAGCCAGUGGCGGAUGCCGGCGCUCUCCAGCUGCGCCAGGACGUGGCGGGCGGUGGCGCGGAGCGCCCGCAGGCAGCACGGCGGCGUCCAGCGCCCGGCCAGCAGGUACUCGGGGGUUUGCCAGCGCACGGUGCCGAAGCAGCGCGGCGUGUCCUUGGCGCAGCCGUGCCAGCGCCGCGAGCCGUCGGGCAGCACCUCCAGCUUGACGCCGAAGCGCUCCAGCAGCGCCCGGCGCUGCGCGUCCCAAGCGCUCUGGGCUCUCCACAGGGCGUGAGGGGACAGAGGCGGCCGCGGGGACGAGGGGAAGGCGGCGGGGAGGAGGAGGAGGCGCCAACCGCGCGCGGCGGCCUGGAGGGACAGCGAGGUGACGAUGGGGCGGGCGAGCGGGAAGGGGAGCGCGAAGAGGUCGCGUGUGCGGAGGAGGAGCACGGCCGGGGCGCCGUCCAGAGCGCCGCAGCGGUCACCGUGAUGGUCACCGUGCUGGUCAUUCCUCUGGUCACUCUGCUGGUCAGCGUGGCCGUAGCGCGCCGUCCACGCUUUGAUGUCCACCUCCAAGGUCAAACAGCGCGGCCGCCGCUGCCCCACGGCCGCCGCCACCACCUUGAUGGUGGCAUCUGA
rnacentral:lncRNA from 14 species